rnacentral:rRNA from 1 species
AGAAUCAACGCUGGCGGCGUGCCUAACACAUGCAAGUCGAACGAGAAAGUGGAGCAAUCCAUGAGUAAAGUGGCGACCGGGUGAGUAACACGUGACUAACCUACCUUCGAGUGGGGGAUAACAUCGGGAAACCGAUGCUAAUACCGCAUAAUAUCGCAAGAUCAAAGCAGCAAUGCGCUGGAAGAGGGGGUCGCGGCUGAUUAGCUAGUUGGCGGGGUAACGGCCCACCAAGGCGAAGAUCGGUAGCCGGCCUGAGAGGGCGCACGGCCACACUGGAACUGAAACACGGUCCAGACUCCUACGGGAGGCAGCAGUGGGGAAUUUUGCGCAAUGGGGGAAACCCUGACGCAGCAACGCCGCGUGGAGGAUGAAGCCCCUUGGGGCGUAAACUCCUUUCGACCAAGACGAUAAUGACGGUACUGGUGGAAGAAGCACCGGCUAACUCUGUGCCAGCAGCCGC